GAUGAACGCUGGCGGCGUGCCUAAUACAUGCAAGUCGAGCGAACGGACGAGAAGCUUGCUUCUCUGAUGUUAGCGGCGGACGUGUGAGUAACACGUGUAUAACCUACCUAUAAUACUGGUAUAACUUCGAGAAACCGGAGCUAAUACCGUAUGAUAUUUUGAACCGCAUUGUUCAAAAGUGAAAUACGGUCUUUCUGUCACUUAUAGAUGGAUCCGCGCUGCAUUAGCUAGUUGUUAAGUUAACGGCUUAUCAAGGCAACGAGGCAUAGCCGACCUGAGAGAGUGAUAGCCGACCUUGGAACUGAGACAGCGUCAAGACUACUAAGGGAGGGCGCAGAAGGGAACCUUACGCAAUGGGGGAAAGCCUGACGGAGCAACGCGGCGUGAGUUAUGAAGGUCUUCGGAUCGUAAAACUCUGUUAUUAGGGAAGAACAUAUGUGUAAGUAAAUGUGCACAUAUUGACGGUACCUAAUCAGAAAGCCACGGCUAACUACGUG
rnacentral:rRNA from 1 species